AAUGAACGUUGGCGGCAUGGAUUAGGCAUGCAAGUCGAGCGGGCGUAGCAAUACGUCAGCGGCGUAAGGGACAGGAACACGUAGAUUACCUGCCCUCGGGUCUGGGAUAGCCACGGGAAACUGUGGGUAAUACCAGAUGAUAUCUCCGGAUCAAAGGUGUGAUUCCGCCCGAGGAUGGGUCUGCGUCCUAUUAGCUAGUUGGUGAGGUAAUGGCUCACCAAGGCGAUGAUGGGUAGCAGGUGUGAGAGCACGACCUGCGUCAUUGGGACUGAGGCACUGCCCAGACACCUACGGGUGGCUGCAGUCGAGAAUUUUUGGCAAUGGGCGAAAGCCUGACCAAGCGAUGCCGCGUGCGGGAUGAAGGCCUUCGGGUUGUAAACCGCUGUCAGUGGGGAGGAAAGCUUUGUGAAGAGCAAGGCUUGACCUAUCCGCAGAGGAAGUGUGGGCUAAGUUCGUGCCAGCAGCCGCAGUAAAAC
rnacentral:rRNA from 1 species